UGUACGCAUGUCCCGUGUUAGCUCCUGUAUCCAGGGGUUAAAGUUAUCAUCUGCCCUAAGUGAACAGAUGCUGCUUACAGCUCAGCUUGUGAGAUAGGCCUUUAGCUCUUUACUCUGUGCUGACAUCUACGUUACAGUAUGUUUUCUGCAACAUACGAAUCUUGCACAUCAUCUUCAUGUAGAUGAAAAAAUAUGUAAGAAUGCCGAACAUAUACACUUAUUUUAUAGACCAUAAAAAUAAAAAGAACGAGGAUUUCAAAUCUAUGCUUGCUUCUCUGGACUUGAGAAAUUUGAAGUAUUUUCUGUAGUCAAAAAGAAUGUGUAUAUGUCUGGAACUUUUUCAACAAUUGCUCUUUACCCUAAUGUUUUCAGUGAGUUUUUACAGCAGUUUAGAAUCCCAUCAAAAUUGAGUGCUCUGUGUGUGUGUGUGUGUGUGUGUAGGUGUGUAGGUGUGUAGGUGUGUAGGAGUAGAUUCUGGUGUUGCGGACUUGAGUUUUCAGGCUUAUGCAGGUAAAUACUCAUAUUUGCAUCUGUUGGGUUGUAUCUUAAGACUUCAUUCUGUCUAUAAGAAACCUUCAUUUGGGUUUGCUGUGGCCUUCCUAUAAAUUCCAGCUCUUAGCAGGCUGAGGCAGGAGGAUUAUGAGUUUUAGGCUAUCCUGGGCUACAUGGAGAAAUCCUUUCCCUGCCAUCCUCAUCCUUACCACCUCUCAUUGGUGAGAGGAGGUGUGGUGGGGGACCCAUAAACUGUCUUCCAUCAUGGCUGCUUUACUAUUUUGCUUCCCUACAAUAAUUAGAGUGGGUGGGAUUGUGGUUCACACUUUCCCCGCAUUUAGUGUUGACCGGGCUUAAGUGUCAGCCAUUAUAAUCCCUUAAUGAGCGAGAGCACAGAGCUCCUUCCCGUGUGCGUUCCUUGAGAUAGUGUCUGUCUGUUCCUACUAUGCUUCCCCUUUCUAUAACUCGAGCUGCUAGUUGAGUUUCAAAGAUUUUUUUUGUAUGUUUAGGGCAGAAGCUGCUUUCUCAGUGGUGUCAUAUGUAAAUGUUUCCAAUGUGUUGCUGGCUUUUCUUCUGUGCUGUCCCUCCGUAAAAGCAACAACAGUAAACGGACACUUGCAAGUUCAGAAAGCAGGUAGUAAGUGUGCCCUCCUGGGACUAGAGAGGAAAUCCUCCUAAACAGUUAAACAACUUCCGGUGUCUGUGUUUACAGUUUUACCUUUACCGAGACCAAACUGGAGGUUAGCUUGGUAGGGUUUUGGCGCUAUGCUGUCCUUGUAAUAUGUAGGCAUGCAAGGUAUAUUUCUGCGUAGUAAUGAGGGUAUCUGCCUUCCUCAAACAAGUCUGAUAAGGCUCUUCUGUGUAAUCCAAGAAAGUCCUCCCGUUCGUUACAUUAUGCAUUCUUCAAGAUGAUUCUGAGAAUAAAUAUGUCAAUAAAUUGAUCAGUGAAUGAAUAUUUUUGAGCACAGUUAGGAAAAUAAACGUUCGAGGCAAUGUGGGUGUGAUCCCACUGAGAGCUCCAUGAACUGUGGUCUGUGUUACGUGUGUGCGUCAGUGUAGAUUGGGCUCCAACUACAUGUUAAGGGUUGCCAUUGAGUCUGACGGGCCGCGUAUGCAGCAGGCAUGCCGGAUUCCUGAACACCCGGGUAGGGAUGUAAGCUGUGAGCAGAGCUGCCUGACUGAGUCUGCAGUUUUACUUCUUCCCCUACGAAGGUCCAGGUGAUUACUGACAGAAAGUAGAUAAUAGAGAUGGCGGUUCUUCGCCACACCAUGGCCACGAGUCUCCAUAGAUCCAUUCUGAACGUAAACAUCGCUAACUCGGAUGAACGCUGUGUGGAGACUGCUGUAACCACACAGCUGGAUAGGAACUGACGUAUGCUGCUGACCCCUGUGAGGGAGGAACUGCCUCUCUCUAGCCCAAGAAAUGGUAAAAAUUUGAGUCUUCCCAAUGUAUAUUCCUUUUGAAGAAAAUCCUUAAUUGACCAUCAUAGAUCAAGGAGAACCUUCUUUAGAUACAAGGCACCUAACUAUUGGCAUCAUAUUUUUAAAAUUUGGAAAUUCAUGACAGCUCUGUGAACCUUGCCGUGUGUGCGUGCGUGCGUGCGUGCGUGCGCGCGUGUGUGUGUGUGUGUGUGUGUGUGUUUGUGUGUGUGUGUGUGUGUACACAGCAGUUCUUCUCAUUGUGACCCACCACCUCUGCAGUCCCUCAGUUCUCCGGCACUGCUCUAUCCAGAGGUUCCCAUUAUUUAGAAUGUGGUAGGUCUACUGAAGGACACCUCACGUCACAUAGUUUAGUAUUAGUACUACUUUUACAUUUCAUGGAAGAAAACCCUUGAUCUUUCUAUUCAUGACUUCCCCCUCUGUCUCCUGCUUCUUCUCCUCUGGGACACAGGAUACAUAAUGAAGCUUCUAACUUGAUUAGCAGAUCACCUAGAAGAAUACCGAGAUUCCUAUGUGCGUGCAGUCAUUCCACACACAAUGAAAACAUCAGAGGGUAUGAGGGCAGGGACAGAAAAAUGCAGCACUGCUUCCUACAGUUGUCUGUGCUUUAGGAAUAUGUGUCCUUGGGGGGAUGGAUGGGGAUUGGGAUGUAUUGGUAUAUUUUAACUAACAGGCCAUACAGCUAGGUUUUCACGUGCGGAUAGAGGCUUGCUAGGUCUUUUUGAGAAACUAGAGGGCAUCGCCAAAGCUUUAAAAGAGCUCUGUCAGGACGAUCCCUUUUUUAAUUGUUAAGGAAUUAAUAUUAAGGACCCGAGACAAAAUCCCAGUUGCAUAAAUAGUGCUUGAUAAGCUACUACCCUUUAAAGCCCAGAUCCUAGAUGAGGCAUGUAAGAUCGGAAAUCUAGCCUGUAAGCAGGGCUACUGUUGAGCAUUUCCCUUUAUUUGUAACCUGGGUUCUUCCAGUUGAGCACCUAUAACAGAAAAUCUGGAUCAUAGCCUUGUAUUACCAACAUGGCGGCACAAGCAGAAAAUGCUACCUCAAGGCUUUGUGACAGAGGUGCAGCAAAGCACCCGCUCUACUGAAAACACCAGCCUCACCUCCUGUCUGCGUAACAAGGAGCGCCGUGUCUCUCUCUCUGUCCUGUCUUCCCCGGUAAUUUACUACAUAGACUAUGCACGCCUUCCAUACCAACGUUAGAGACAUGUUUGCUUCCUGUUCCCUCAGACGAGAGACCCUUCACAUAGGAGAACGUUCUGCCCGUGGUCUCUCACAGUGGGGAGCUGUCCGUGCCUUGGAUGUACCAUGACACAUAACUGUUUCUCCAUUGCUCUUACUGGUCCACCUCAGUCAUGAAGGGCAGCAUCUGGAAGCAGGCCAGAGAGGAGCAGAAAGUGCGGAAGCUGGUGUGGACGGUUAGCUGUUUUCAGUAGACUGUUGAAACAGCAAAGAUGGUGGGAGUCAGUGCAAAGAGGCUGUUUGGCAGGUCUGGCUUCAGGGCUUGGACAGUGCUACUGUAAGACAUGUACACACACACACACACACACACACACACACACACACACACACACACAGCAGAUGCUUACUACAAGUGUUCUUCUAUAGGUGAGCUUCCUUUUCGAUGUAAGAGCACACAUCCUUCCAGUGAGUCUAAGUGCAAGAGGACUCCAUGUCUGCUUGCUGCAGUAUUUUUUUUUUAAAGUUAAAUUCUGGAAAUACAUGUUAUAGGCCCAUUAUCAGAUCCCCAAAUGGGGUAUGGGGCUUUGGCCUAAAUAAAGAAAAUUCCGAAUAUAGGAGCUGAAACCCCGCUUUUAAAUGAUAGUAUGCUCGGGGCUGGUUGGCUUGUAAUGUUUUAAUCAGCACUAUGACAAUUCGAACAUAAUAAACACUGUAUUGGAGAGAGGAAGGCAAGGUUGAAGUUACUUGAAAAACAUUUCGUAGCGGAAGCACGUAAGUACCCUAUUCAUUGUAUGUCGCCAUGAAAAGCCUAAGGAAGUCCGUCCUGUUUGAGUGGUGUAGCUGGAAGGAACCGUAGGAAAGGCCCGGAGGGAGGAAGUGGUUUUGUAGCUGUCCUGCACAUAUAAUAAUAAUUGUCGUGCACAUAUAACCACCCGAUUCUGACCACACAAGACCUCGAGUAGAUUAGUGAAUCUUUCUAUGUAUAGGCCCUCAGAAAUCCAAAGAGAAACAUUAAUAUUUCUUUGACAUAGAAACUUUCUCUUUCGGAAAGCUCAAGUAGGAAUACUGCAUAUUCUCCAUCAACCUACAGCCCCCUUCCUGCAUCCGGUGAGGGACACGGGGUAUCUCGUGCAGUGUGGUGACUGCUGUGCAGGUCAAGCCUUCGUUUCUGUUCUCCCCGUCACCACCUCAUUCCGUAAGAGUGAGCUAACCAGGUUUGCGUUCCAGAUGGCGAGGCUGAGACUAUUGUUACUCUACUCCCUAUGAACUGCGUCAUUUAGAGGGAAGAGUUGCUGUGUCUGUAACAGGUAGUAGCAUUUUCUCUGUGUCCCUUACUCAGAAUCGAAAGUACGUAAAAAAACAAAUCUCAGAUACCGGAGUUUGAAGGAUUCGCCCCAGUUUUCCUGGUUAAAUAUCCCUAAUUCAAAAAGCACCCAAGUCCAACUUCAUAUUUGAAAUAUUGCAAGUUUCCCAAUGAGUGAUACUUAAACCGAGUGCUUGUCUUUAAAGUAUUCUCAGUAUUCCAUCUUCAAAAUGUUGAAUUCAUCCCUCUUCUCAAAAAUAUUUAUUCACACUUGGAGAUUCUUAGAUGGUCACCAUUACAGAUAAUGGUGGGUUUUAACACUGUUUGAAGGUUAUCGUGGGGACACCUUCACAUGACGCAGUCGCAAUUCUUUCAUGUCAGUAACUAAAGUGAUCUCGGCUCUCACCCUGGAACUUUGAUUAAUAAACAAGUUUGAAGUUCGCUGAGAGUUCUGAGUGCAGCUUCGUCGUGGCCCAAACCUCAAAGUGUAACACUGUGUCUGAAUGACAUCAGGUAAGGCUGAAGGCAGGAAGACCGCUCUGUUCUCACACCGCUGCCUGAAGGACUGAUAGCCAGGAACACUCCCUUCUAGUAGCCCUCCCUGGCUGUAGCGUUCUCUUUUAGAAGAGGUGUUGAACACCAGGCUGUUCCCCAAGGUGGGGAGGAGGCCUUCAUUCGUCUUCACUGCUAGUCAUCGCCCUUGCUGACUCAGCUGUCCUGUGCACAGCGCCUUCCGUCCACUGCUGCACGCACGUUCUCCCUAUGGGGUUAUAAAAGUGGCAGUCCGAUAUCCUUUGCUUCCCCCCUUUUAAGUAUUGUGAGCCUUUGAGAAGGCUGGGAUUACUUGGCAAGAGGGUAAAACCACCAGUUAUAUGUUGAAUGAUUAAUUCCUUAGCGAAAUUUGUUUUUACAUAGUGAGAUAUCUUUCUGGUUUUGCUUGUUUGUUUGUUUGUUUGUUUGUUUUCUUUUCUGGGACAGGGUUUGGCUGUGUACCCCUUGCUAGCCCCCCAAAAUCACCAGUCUUAUUCCCCCAGGCCCCAUAUGUUCUAGAAUUACAGUCACAUCUGGCGGUGAAAUUUUAUCCUGUAAUAAUGAUGGAGGUCCAUUCUAUUAUUUAAAGUUGAUGAACUUAUUUUCAAAUAUACUAAUAGAUACCCAUAAUAUAUAAAGUAUUUAAACAAAGGAUAAUAUGAUAAUCUGUAUGGAUGUGCGCGCGCGCGCGCACACACACACACACACACACACACACACACACACACACACACACACACACUCUCAUUCCACAUAGAGAACAUUGCUGUAAGAAGUGGUAAAUAUCAAAGCUCAGACGUUUGCCAGAAGGAUCCAUUAAAAUGCAGCCACAGUUCUGGCAGACUUCAUGAUUAUAGAUUUCUGUUGGUGUGUAGUCUCCUUGACAUACAAACCUCUCAGCCUUCAUAUCGAUCAAUCAGUCUUCGUAAAGAAGCCCCGUGUCCAUGCCAGAGCUCUCGGAAGUUUUUUCCCCCUUUUCUUUAAUUUAAUUAGUACACAUUUACUGAUCUCUCUUUACAGGCAACAAUAAUGUUUACCCAUACCUUUCGCCGACCCGAGCUCCCUUUCAUGCUAAUAGUAUUUUCAGAGCAACAAACUUAGCUCAGUCUGGUUUCCAUCUGAGGCGAUGUUUCGUGGGACUGGGGAGUUGCUGUAAGUGCUCCUAACUGAGGCUACUUAGUAUACACAUCCCGUCCCACAGGAUCCAAGCAGUCAGCUUCUGAGAAAAUUCAUCCCAUGUUCUGUGUACCCCAAGUGCUUACCCAUCUGUGGUGCCAGGUUUCUCAGCCAUUGGUCCGUUGGGAUGGACUACUGUUCUAGGGUCUAUUGACUCAGUGUUUCUAUGCAAAAUAGACUGAGGUUGAUUUCGGUGUCCUGGUGGUGGGUUUCACCAAUUCUCCAGCCCUUGACUGAGUUUGUUUAUAGACAGCAACUUGGAAUUACUUCUUUGGCUACGGGUUUUUAAGUUGCUUGCAUAGGUUCUUGAAUCUUACAACAGCAUAUACAACUAUUAUAGCUCCGAUUGGCAUGUCUAAUUGGACACCUGCUUUGCAUGCUACUGAUGAGCAUGUAAACUGUAGGUCUCCUCUUAAACCAUACUAAACAUUCACAGUCGCUCUGUGAGAAAGACCAAUGAAGUAACGUAUAGUCAAGCCACCUAAAUGUCCCGAAUGGUCCACCGAAAUGAAGGAAUGAGAAGAGGGCAAUAGGGUCACACCGGGGGUUCUUCCCUGCAGGGACCUGAAGGUUUCCUUGUAAAGUGAAAGCUUACAAGUUGUCUUACUAGGUUCUGUCCGUGGUUCACCCUAUCAUAUUGUGUUCCCUGUCUGGGCAGUGAGAUGUCGUUUUUCUCUGAGGACAAGGUGUCACCGCUCUUUGUAUGACCCAGAGGUCUCUGGGUGAAACUCAGACUUGCAUGCAUACCUGAAACCUUUGCGUUUACUUUGGAUCUUGGACAGAGUGUGUGACAAUAAAGAAAACUAGGUAUUUUUGGAGGGUGGGCCAUUGUUGUUUGGUUCAGUAUGUGUGAUACACAGGAAGCCUCCUGCCUCAGGCUCCCGAAUGCUGGAGCAGCAGGUCCACCACCACCCACCCAUCUGCCAGGCUUGCGAUGAGCUUUCAAUCGGAAAUGAGAAUGGAUGAAGAAAGCUUGAAGUGAGUUGUAUCUCCUGGCUGCCACCAUCAAGGAAGCGCAUAGAAAGGACACGCAAACCGUUGUAAAGAAAAGGGGAAUUCCUAAGAGUUGCAACCUUUGAUUCCGAUUUGGGUUUUUCUUUUGUCUUCUGUGUGGAUGCUGUCCACCUCACUCCAUCCACAGAGCCAUGCCGCUCUGCCAGUUUCCUACCAAUAUGGUGUGCAGCUUCAUAGUCAGUGAUGCAGUGUGUAUACGCAUUGGCACUUUGGAGUUGGCUGAAAAAAUGAAUAAUAAGCCAACUUUACUUCAGGUAAAUUGGUAAUAAUACAGUUUUAUAGUCAGUGAAAUUAUCAAUCACGUUUUACACAUCGAUCCACAUGAUAGGGAAACUGCCCUUUUUCUCUAUCUUUGCUUUGGUUUUGUUUGGCUAAUAUGUUAUUGUUGAUAACCAGCAGGGUCUUACCAGUUAGCGCUGGUUGGUCUAGAGCUCUCUAUGUAGACCACACUGGCCUUGAAUUCACAGAGACCGACUGCCUUGCCCGCCCAAGUGUUGGGAUUAAAGGAAACGACCUGACUUAGAUCUGUAUUUCAUUUUCUGAUUAGCAGUUUUAAUGUCAGGCAUUUAUUGGUUAAUUUUAUUAAAUACAGAAAUAUAGUUCUUUAAUAUAAAGCAUUUAUGUCAUCAAAAAUCAUGGAUCCACUAUUUUCCAGAAAUUCUAUAUUAGAAUUGUUAACAUACAGACCAUAAUAGUAAGAGAAAAAUCAUACCAGUUUUAAUGUUUUUUUUGCAUAUUGGUUAAGGAAAGUUAUUGUAAAGAAUGAGUUUCCCAGUGGCAUUUUACUAAUACAUAUUUAGCUGUCUUCCAAAUUUUAACAACCCGUCUUUCUCACCUUACUCUGCACUUCUUUAAAUACAUUAUAGCAAUUUAAAUUAUUCAGUGCUGUUUGCUAUUCUGCAAUUAAUUUUAUAGCUAAUAAUAUCUGUUUCACAUGCUUUUAAGAAGGAAUCUUAUUUAUGACAAAAAGCAAGACAAAGGAGAUUCUGUUGCCCCUGGAUACUGUCUAUUCAAUGGAAAGCAGUCAAGGCGUAACUAAUACACUCAAGAUCUCUGAGUGUUUCUGUUCAUGCCCCAUGCCACCAAAAGACAGGGUUUCAGGACUUCCCUAUCACACUGCCCACCUGUGACACUCAGACUGACUACUGUGAUGGAUACCCAAGAGAAAGACCUUAAGGGAGGAACUAAUUAUUUUGGAUCAAGGUUUUUCAAAUCCAAAGUCAUCUGUCUCCAUUACGUUGGUCCUGAUGGGAGGUGGAGUAUAGUGGUGGGAGGGGCAUGCUGCAGAGGAGCUCGUGCUUCUCACAGACAUUGAGAAGCAUACAGCCUUUAACCACUGUCUUUUGGGUUUGAUUCCGUAUUCUGACUUGUCCCGUUUUACAUCCCUUUCUUUGUGGUGGCUGGGGAGUAGCUAAGAUCAUUUGAGGAGCCCGUAAAGUGGAAGUUUAGUUUGUGAUAGACUCAGUCCAGGUUGUUGUACUAUUUUUUAUGUCCUUUGAUAUUGUAGGCUAUUCUGGUGAAGAAGUGGCCUGUGGGACAUAUUCAUGUGACUCAUUGUAUAGUUUCUAGUAAUCUAAGUGGGCCAAGCCACACCACAAUGUAAACGUUUCCCAUACAGGGGGAGAAGGGAAAGAGGAAUAGGACUGAGAGUGUAUCCAGCAAAAGUCAGAUUGACAUUGAUACUGUGUAUCAAGCGAUAACCAUUAGGUGAGGAAUAUGAGUGAUAUUGAUACUGUGUAUCAAGCAAUGGUCAUUAAACAUGUGAGACAUUUAGUAGUCCAGCUUCCCUACAUUACCCGAUGUGUUCCUGGUUAGAACACAGAUUAUAUAGGGCACUCCCAUAUACAGUGGGUGAAAUUAAAAUGUGCCGGGCCACAGUUGGAAAAGGAGCUGAAAGUGUAAAAGCUCUAAUAAUUAAAUUGAUUUAAGGGACAUUAAUUAAAUGAUAGUAAAAUGUGUAUCCAUUCAAUUAAAAUGUUGAAGAGUAACAUUUCUACAGUUGAUGCUAAAUACUCUAAUGGGGAUGGAACCCAGAGAGUUGUAAGCCAAUGAGAAUGAUAGACAUUGUUUUCUGCUUAGCUCCUCACGCACCUCCUCACUUGCCCAUUUAUAGACAACACUAUCACUGGCAUCUACUACAGGUAGCCUGUGUGUCAAGAAAUGUUUUAAGGCACGUGUCUUUAAUAAUAAUUUCAGUAUAAUCUCUAAUCAAGGGAUCCUUCAAAAAAUGAGUUUCCCCGCUCCUCCUUACCUUUGGAACUCGAUAGAACCAUAAAUCCAGCGAAGAUAAGAAAAUGUCUACUGGCUUUUCAAAGCAUAUUUUGUUAUUCGAUGAGCUUUUUCCACACAUUAAAUUACAUCCUGAUCUAGCCCUAAGAUCACCCCAUCAUUAAUUUAUGGAACUACACGUGUGUUGUCUAAAGCUGAUGGGGGUUAUAUGAGGGAUGUCACACAUUUCAAAGAGACACCUAGCUAAGCGUGUGAGGAGUGGUGACUUACUGUCGCUCCUAAUCUACAGCGCUCCAAGACAUUUGUGUGUACACUUCCAUUUAUUUCCACCCUUGAUGAACAGACCUUUAUUAAGCUGCAAUGAUUACUGAAUGUGAAAUGUAACCAAGAUUAUUUUUUAUUCAAAUAUAAUUUAAAUAUUCAUCAAAGCGAAGUCAUGCUUAAGACUGACAGAGACUAUUAACAUCAAAAAUUGUAAUUAACUGCAGUGGGUAUCAUGAAGUAGAGUUAGCCAAAUAGCCGAGAGGUCUAAUUGCUCUAGAGUUCGAGAAGCGAUGGUUUUAUUUUAUACUGUAUCUGAGGAAUUAAUAGUAAUGUGGUUUCCUAUGUGGGCCAAUUAAAAGCUGCCUGUUAAGGUUCAUUGCUCUAUAGGAAACCCAUUGACUAUCGCUUAGUAAACAGGAUUGACACGCCAGUGUAUACCAGAAGAUAAAAUAGAAUAGAAACCAUGAAAAUGAGAUCUACUGAAAAUGCUUCCUAGACCCGCAUCCUGUCAGAGAGCUAGAGAGGGGUCUGUGCGUCUUCCCAGCCCUUGUCUGGACCUCUUCCUCCGGUACCCACAGCUUUGGCCUGGGGGAAGAUUCAUGGCUCUGCCCUCACAGAACCUGCCUGGGAUUUGGGGACUAUAAUCCUUCUCCUAUAAGGAGGCUGGUGUUUAGUGGCAGAGGAUAGAGCUGAGGUUGGCCAUCAGCUUCCCUCAGGGCCACCCCCCAACUCCUCAGCUAGAUAGCUUCAUCUUCCAGAACUUUAGCCUCUCAGGCUGUUCAGACCUGCUUCUGGCUAGAUUCCCCAAGAGAAUUUAGAGUUCUCCUCCCAGCAAGCCUCUUAGAUACCACAUCCUGGGUUGCCCAACCAAAGGACAGUGCUAAUAUUAAAUAUAAGACAAACCCAAUAAGGAUAUUAGUUAUAUAUGUUUUAAGGAUGGCCGUUAAAUUUUAAAACUAAGCAUUUCAAAGCGAAAGACAAAGAGAAAACUGCCCAGUUCAAGUCUAAAAAUGAACUUUUCCCCAUCUUUGCCAUGCCAUCCCUUUUCGAUAAUGAAAGUAGUAUUUUGACCUUUGUGUCUCCCCUAAGCUUUUUAGCCGCUUACAAAAAGAAACCACUCCCGAUUGAACCCAGAUGAUUCUGCCCUGGUGAGACUAUGGGGAUUCAAGGGUUGUCAGGCAUCCUAAUGGUAUUUUGACAUUAGUGACAUUGCUAACAUAGAAACGUCUAAUGGUCAAGAUGAGAGUAAGGUCUCCCAGCGUUUCUUUUCCUUAACAAUUCUGAAUCAAAAGUGCUUAAUACAUUGGCCACAAUUUCUACUAUAAAAUACAUAAUGGGAGAAUACUACUUCUAGCUAUCAUGAAGCUUGUUUAUUGUUUUAAUCUUUUUGGUCCUUCCUUCCUUCCUUCCUUCCUUCCUUCCUUCCUUCCUUCCUUCCUUCCUUCCUUCUGUCUGUCAUCUGAAGUGACAGAAGUCUUGUGAAGGCACUGCUGCUCUUCUAGAUGGCAGUGCUGUUAGCUUUCUGAGGUGCCCUGUUGAUUGUUUCAGAGCGUAUGGCCCUUUGCUUGUCCCCUCCCCGAGCACGAGGGUAGUGGUGCUUAAAGCUCUUAAGGUCCCCACAAACUGGGCCUCCUACACAAGUUACUUAUAGAGAAGUAAUUCAAGCUGUAAGUAUGUUAUUAAAUGGAAGCCUUCUGCCUUCACUAACCUUUAAAACAGUCUAAAUUAUCAGUACAUAUUAUAAAACAGCCAGAUCCAAAAGUAGUGUAUCUCAGGGUUCUGGAGCCAGGUUUAACUUUGGAAGAUUCUGUUUGUCCAGGCGUCACUAGUGUGCACUAUCAAAUGCUCGCUAUGUUCUGAUAUACUGCACACCCUAACAUGUCAGCCAAAGACAUCCACAAACAGCUGACCAGAACAUACGUUUGCAAGAAAACUGACGGGCGUGUGGGGUUAAGUUGAGAAAAGGUAAAGUUGCAGGUACAGCACAUGGCAGAGAUACUCUUCAAACCGUCGCCAACCACUCAGAUGAAGGCAGAACUGAUCCGUCAGAUCUCCAGGGUGGUGCAGCACUCCUCCAGACAUGGAUGGAGGAGAGACAGUGGCCAGAGGAACCUACAUGGAGCACGGGUACACUGAAGUCUGUGAGCAGUCCCCUGAUCCUUCCUGCUUCUCAGCGAUGUCCCCUACCACCUUCUUUGCAGCACUGUAAUUUUCUGCAUUGCCCGUUAUCUGAGGAGCAAGGGUCUUUCAAAUAUCUCUUUCCUUUCAUCCCUAAAAGAAGGGUGCAAUCAUUGUGUGAGUGCACACAUAGAGAAGUAGAUUGGAUACACUUAAUGCACGUGCAUGCACACACACAUACACACAGAUAGAUGAUAGAUAGAUAGAUAGAUAGAUAGAUAGAUAGAUAGAUAGAUAGAUGAUAGAUACAGAUAGGCGGGCACUUGUAUUAACUCCAAAGCUACCAGGGUUCAUUCUUUUGUAGCUGGGAACAGUAAUAUACAAUCCCACAUGCACCUUGUUAGUUCUUCUAGAUAUUGUUUGCACAUGGUUAUUUCGGGGUAUUAUUAUCUCUGUAACUGCUGACUCUUCUGUCCUGUCCGUCUGUCUACCUUUCUCUUUACCCCCUCUCAUCUUUCUAAGACUCUGUGACAGAGACGCAGCAGAAGGAUGCUUGCUUCCCUUAGUGCUGCAUACCUACUCUUAGGAGAGCUCUCUGGGUAACAGGCUGCAGAACGAGUGCACAUGGGUUGUGUUCAGUUAUCGAGAACGCCAUCAGCAAUGCCUUGUUGCUUUCUUAUCAGCCACUUCCUGCUGUCGGCUUGGCACUUAUUUCAAUAGGAAAGGAUUUGCAUCCAGUGUGGUGCCUUAUUAUAUGCAGCGAACACAGGGUUUUUAAUUGUGCAAACACACGAGACUCCUGCGGUGGUAGUCAAUUUGAUAAAAGGAUUAGAUUAUGAAUAUUUUGUCCUGAUUAAAUAUUACUCCCGAUUUGUCAGAGGUAAGCCAGUGGAAUUUGUCGUCUAUCUAUCAGUCAGAUGAGACUCCAUUAAAUUUAAGUGUGAAUCACAAAGUACCCAUCUCUUCAUAUCGUCACUUAAGGGUUUGAUGUUUAUUCAGAUGAUGGUGUAAAGGAUUGUUUGGGGCCUUCUUCCCAGCUCAUCUAACUUUCUGCCAGUAACCCCAAGGGUCUGUGUUUUCAGAUUUGGCCUAGGUCGCUUUUAAUCUUCAGGUAAACGUCUAUAUCUAUCUAAAAUUUCUGCAGCUAAUGGCUGACAUGUAUCUUAAACCAAUUUAAGUUUUUCAAUCCUUAACUAAGGAAAAAGAUGAAACAAAGUAAGAAACCCGUUAAGGAAGCGCUCAUUCAGUGAAUACCUCUUGGUAAAAAUAGUUCUAAGCAGGACUGGAGAGAUGGCUCAGCCACUAGGAACCCUUGCUGCUCUUCCAGAGGUCCUAGGUCGUUUCACAACACCCACGCGGCGGCUCACAGCUGUUUCUCACCCCUGAUCUAGGGGAUCUGAUACCUCCAGGUAGACAUACAUAUAGGCAACAUGGCGACACACAUGAGGUAAAAGUAAUAAAUAAAUUUUAAAAAGAUCUGAGCCUCAUGGAAAUUUAUAAGAUGCCUUAGAUCUAUCCGGGGAGAGGGGAAACCAAGGCUCCAGGGUCCACUAAAAUCAUACAAUAAAGAAGAAAAUGCUGAGUGUUUGAGAGGUGAGUGCCUCUAAACGAGUAGACACGAAGUUUACAGUUCUGUGCUAGACAUUAGCAAAUUCUGUGCAUCUAAGAUACCGAACACUGGGCACAAAGCGCAAUGUGAAUGAUUUACUAAUAAAUGACCUGACACUUGGAGAUGGAGUCCAAGAAAACAGAGAAAGAUCUCUUUGGGUUUUAGUUCCGGGGAAGAACUUAAUACUUAUGGCCGGUGUGGUUUCCACUGGCUUUUCCCAUCCACACCUUAUCUUUGGUCAUGGGAUGCUUUGUUCCAUGCCCAACAGGAAACAGUUCCGCGGGCAGAGAUCUGGGACGAGCAAUGUAAAUCGGAGUGUACUUAGAGUCCAGCACGGUCAUCGAACGUGGAAAAGGCUCACGUGUUGAGAUUGUGGGAAGAGGUCCCCUGUCCACUUUCACGUUGAGUGUCUGUAGGAGUGGGUAUCAUUUGAUCACAAGCGUAGAUUCUCAGUUGACAAAACCGCAAGGUGGACCUCCCCUGCAGCAGGCGCGAGCCUAGGUGUCCUGUCUCUUUCUGGUGCAGUGACAGUGAGGAGAGAGCCAUUCCUGGCCUCCUGACGGGUAGUCAUAAGGGGGAAGCUUAGUAAGUUGCUUUCUCAGAACUCUUCACCUCUUUCAGAUCAGUACACAUUCGUAAACCGGGACAAGUAUUUUCCUGCCAAACCUUUUCAAAGCUGCAGGAAGUAAGCGAAGGGCCCGCAAAUGUGUGUUUCGAUAAGUAAGUUUGGUGAAGAAAUGUCAUGAUCUAGAACCGAGUUUGAAUGAACAGAAGUGCUUUUUGGACACUUGGUAAAAACCUAGGGUGUUAGAAGCAUUUUAGCAAAAGAGGAGAAAUUUUUAACAGAGUUACAUAUUUUUUUUUUAAGUUUUGUGCACAGCUGCAUUUCCAAAAGCGUCCGCAAUUUCUUUCUGAGCAUGCAAUGGUAUUCGCGUGCGAUGUCUGUCCAGCAUUUGCUGCAGCGUUUGAUGCAAAUGCGACCUGUCGAAGCAGGAACUAUUCAUAUCAGUUAUCAAUUAGUCUGGGAAAUCGUCUUACGGUCAUUAGAAUACUGACUAAAUGACAGUCUAUCUAAAUAAAGAGUCAGGGGGAAAAAGCACCUCAAUGGUGUAAUUUUCCUGUUUAUCAACUUGUAUUCCAGCCUGGGGAGCCAUCUUUAACCUGACUUUAAACAGCGCCACAUGCUGUCCCUGACUCUGUCUUGCCCUCCAAACCUCCUUUCCAUCCCAGCUCCUUAGCUUUAUUUCAGGCUCCAGUCCUCCAAGCGGGUAAUUAAGGGACCAGCAGAGCCAUUUGUGGCAAAGAAGAGUCAUAAGGGUGAAAAUAUUUCUUCGCUGAAUGAUCUUUCAGAAGUAAAUAAUUACAGAGGAAAAAGAUUUGGGAAGAGCAAUCUAAAUCUGAGGGUAAUUAGACAGAGUGGGUAUGGAAAUCGAAGCGCCUGGCAUGUACAAUUCUCACAUCAGAACAAAACUAAUUAAAUAUUUAGAAACCAAAAUCCCCUCACAAUUUGAAGAAAAAUAACCCAGGACAAAAGGGUCCGUAACUUUGCAGAUAAUUAGCAAGGGGUAUAGCAGAGGAAGGCAUCACAGAGCGGCCCUGCAGCUCCACAAGGUCACAUCCUGUUAUGCCGCGUCGCUUAUGCAGUCUGGUAACAAGUCUGCUGCUAAUCUCAUCUAACUAGGGCAUCCCAUAGUGACUUCCCAUUUCCCUUGUUAAAAGUGUGACAGCUAUGCAAGUGCAAACUGUAGCAGGUUGCCACACUGUUACUUUUUACAGGUGGUAUUCUUUUUUUAAUUAUUAAAGCAUGUCUGGAGAAUUUAGGUACAAUAUAUAUAAUAUAUAUAUUAUAUAAUUAUUGAUUUUUGUCCCCACUAAAUGCUCUUAUUCUUGUCAUUAAAUAGUUAGACCUCAUGACCUUAUGAAUGAAGCAGUCUCAAUGGCGUGCUUUGUACAUAAAUACCUCUGAUUUUGCUAAUAAAAGCAAGUGCGUUUGUGUUGAAUGUGCAUUUCUGCAAACAAGGAAUUUUACUUUGGAUUAAUAAGGCUCAGAGUGAGUCAAACCUCAUUUGCAUUAAACUGACCCCAAGGUCCAGUAAAAACUGCAAGGAGUUUCACUGGUUUCUAAAACACACACACACACACACACACACACAUACACACACACACACACACACACACACACACACACACACACACACACACACAAGUUGUUUUUAGCACAGCAUCACCACUUCAAGAUGUUUGAUUUAAUAAUUCAUGUGGAAUUUCAAGGUAAUUUUGGCAGUCCGCAGGAUACAGGUCAUGCAUGUGUUUUAGGAUCCAUAUACGUGGUGGCUGUAUUUUCUGGUGUAGUCGUUUACGGAGAUAUAAACUCUGCAUGGAUGCCAUUACUGUUCACGUUAUUCCUGUUUUCAGUAUCUACCACAAAUGGUAGCAGUGGACUUAAAUAGGACUUUGCUGUUAGACACUGGUUAAUUCACCCAGAACUAUUUGGAAGGGGCCUUUUUCUGCUUUUCUUCCACACAACAUUCUUUGAUAGUCAAAUAUUACUUACACACACACACACACACACACACACACACACACACACACACACACACGUAUGCCUAGCACAAAGUUACACACUCGAGAUUUUUCUACAGUUGUCCACACAGCAGUUUCAAAGAUUUACUCACCACAACCCUGGAAAACCAGGAUUACAUUAAAUUUUUUUAUAACAUGAUUGAUAUAUAUAUAUAUUCAUAUAUAUAUAUAUAUAUUCAUAUAUAUAUGGUCAAGUGGGAUACAAUUUGAACUACUUCGUUUUUCCAGAUUAUUUCUCUGCCUAUGGCAAACCUUCAUAUUCUGGCUUCUGGCACAGAAGCGGCUCUUAUGUUUGAAACGCAUUCAAUAAGACAUCGCCCUUUAAUUCAUCUAUGUAGUAGCCUAGCAUGCCUAAGGAAUGAAGUUCUGUGUGGUAGAACUCGUCUAGAUGGGGCAGAUUUGCAAAGUGAAUCAUGAAGGCUUGGUUCCCUGGCAUCUGAGACUGUGCCAUAGAACACCUCCCUUUUGCCAUGAUCAUGCCACAUCAAUUAACUCCCUGAGGUCGUGUUUACCUAGCAAUUCGUUAAGCUUUCAUAUCCUCACUGAUAAAUACUUAAAGAAAGCAGGAUCUGUCUCCAUAACUCUGCGAAAGUUUGGAUGAUAGAAAGACAUUUCGUUGUAAGCUGUAUUUUAGAAGAGAGAUGCUUGGCUGGGUGCUCCCGACAUGGGAGAAUGACUAUCCACGAGUCUUGGGUAUCAUCAUUGUCUCCCUUUCUUGCCUGACUUGAGUACUUUGGUUUGUGCACAUCUCUUUGCAUUGACUCUUACUGCUCCUGGAGUCAUACAGCAUGCUGUGUGUGGAACAUUUUAUUCUCAGUCUGUACUAGGAGGGUUAAGUGUAGGGGUGACAGAUCCAGACCAUUCGAAAUGUUGGCAUAUGGGAGCGCCAUUGAAAAUAAAGGGUACUUCCCCCAGCAAAUAAAUCGCCCAUGUAUUGUUUUCUUUCAUGAUACAAAAAUUUGUCCAAAUUGACAGAAUUCUAUCAGAAGAACCAGGCUAGCCAUUUAUCACUGACUUCAUCCUUCAGAAACACAGAUUGAAUCCUUACAGGCUUGUCAUGUGUUCGCCUCCAACGAGCCUCUUAGAAGUCAGCAAGUUCUCUUUUCUUUUCCCUUCAUUUCUUUUUAGGGUUCUGUUCCUCAUGCCCUCCUUUUUGCUAAGAGGGCUCUGUAUUUCUUCUAGCCUGUGGACUUGAAUAAAAUGAAGUAGACCAAUUGACAUUAUUUAUUUGUUUUUCUCGUUACUUGAACCGGAGACAUUAAGGUUUCCCCUACCCCAUUGUUGAGAUCCGAGGUAAGAGAUUCGCCUGUGGGUGUUCUGUUCAUUCAUAACAUGCAGUUCACCACGGACCUGGCUUGGCUUGCCAUCAUGAGUGUUCUGUUCAUAGUUAGCCCUGUGCACAAGAUAACACCUCUUGGUAUCCCAACGCCUCACAAGUCGGUAUUUCUUCUGGAACUGCACGUUUUGAAGAUUGAAGGGAGCUGGCAAGGGAGGAGUGUGGAAAGAACAAGCCUAUUACUGCUCGUUUGUAGUAAUGGAAGUUUAAAAAUAGCAGAUGCCAAUUAGAGGAGGAAAUUGUGGAAGCAGUCUUCACUGAACACACGCGCUCGGUAAGGAGCUGGACUAAUUCCGCAGCCCCGUUUCAGAUUCAAGCGAACUCGAAUUUAGUUUCCUGUCUGGGUAAUACCGAGCGUCUCUGUCGAAUGUUGGGGAGUAUUUGUUCAAGUUGGUAGGUUUUGCAUUUUUAAUCUUCCUUAGAACUGUGGUGAAUAAUGGCCCCUGGCAGGAGAUAAUGAAAUUUUCUUAAUUUAUAUUUUCAAGUAGAAGCUUCAAUUGAAAAUGGCAUCCGAUGGCCUGGAGGCGUAGCUUGAGUACAAGUUCCAGGGGAGCUGCGGUAAUAAUGUGGUGCCGUCCGUGAUGGGGAGCGAUGGGACAGUGAAGAAGUCAUUUAAGGGAGAAAAGAAAAUGCACCAAAGCUUUAUUGUAGCAUAUCUAAUGAUCUGGGGAAGAUACCCAAUGGUUUUUGGAGCAUGACUGGAGAAGCUAAUGUUAUCUUGCCAAAACAGAAGCCUCUGCUUAAUCAGCAGAACGAGGUUAUUGAUUAGAACGCCUCUCACAAUAGAUUACACGUGGAAUCUCAUCUCCAUCCCUCGCACUUGGUAAAGGGUAGUAACGAGCAUAAGAUAACCAGAAGCGGAGGAAACACAAUCAGCCGGGCGUGGUACAGUUCAAGAUUAGAGUUGGACGGGAGGCAGGCUUGCGUGGUUUUAAAGGCACACGCAGGAACGCGUGCACACAGCGCAGGGAUGGCGCCAGAACAGGCGCGACUCUGACUUUGCAGCUCUGGGUCCGGUUUCUCGAAGGGUCAUUGUUCCCGAGGCUUUCCACCAUGUUGGGGAUUCCUCGUCAUCCAGGCGUUGCACAAAGUCCAUCUUCCUUAUCCAGUUGAAGCUUAUUGACAAUCUUCCAGGCAAGUCAGUGCAUUUUCUAGAUGAAAAGACUGAGCAGGGAUGGUCUAGUGCAGUGUUGCUGGACUCACAGACUGCAGGAUAGAACUGAGCCCUCAGUUCUCCGUCCUGUUGAAACCUGUUAUUUUGGCACUCAUUGUCCCACCGUAGCACAGCAUCCCAAUGGUUGCUCUGUUCUCUCUCAACACAAUUAUGAUUAAUAGCAUAUGAACCAGACGGUAGCUUGUCUCCCCCCCCCCAAUAAAAAGUUACAAUUAACAGUUAUUCACUUAUGCGAGACGUUUCCUGAGGGUCAGAGAAGACCAACCUGCCUUUGAACUCAGAAUCCUCCUGCCUCAGCUUUAACAGCUGAGAUUUCAGAGUUGUGCCGGGGCACACGUGUUAUCUUUCUAAGUGAUUUUGGUAUACUACUGUGUAAAUGAGUCUGCUUUCGUAAAGUACAUUUUCAUCAAGUCUUCUCGAGGUAGUUUAUUUAAUUUUGGAAGUUCUGUGGAUAUUUUUGAAAAUUCCUGUCAACAUUGGCUCCAUAUAGGGGUCCAGAUACGUGUUUUAAAUCCCUUUGCAAGCAACCUGAAGGUUGUGAGGGCAAAGAAAUCGGUGAGUUACUCAUCAGAAGACCUUGUAAUUUUUUUCUCUUAUCUAUUGGACAUGGGCCUGAGCAUUGACACCAAGUUUAAAUUUUUUCUCCAAUUUCUGAUGAUCAUGAAAAUAUCGAUACUCUCUUGUGAAUAUUUAGUGGUUUAAAUUAUCGGUUCUGGUAUGUAGGUUCGUUUCUCUGUUAGUUUUAGGGAGAAUGGCUCAUUAGCAUAAGGUAAAGGAGAGAGAGCUUGACGACACAUGGAGAAACAUCUGCAGGCCUACUGGUUUUUAAAAUUUAGGUCAUAAAGAUGAACCCUGGGCUUCCUUUCUUUCCUAUCACUACCUUUGGCUAAUACAGAAAGCUUAUAAUAACGGGCUUUUUAUGUGUGACACAACCUGCUUUGCCGUAUUUGAACCCACUUACAA